rnacentral:piRNA from 1 species
UGCAGGGAUGGUUCUGCGAUGUCAGA